rnacentral:rRNA from 1 species
GUCCACGCCCUAAACGAUGUCAACUAGUUGUAGGGGAAGCAAUUCCUUGGUAACGCAGCUAACGCGUGAAGUUGACCGCCUGGGGAGUACGGUCGCAAGAUUAAAACUCAAAGGAAUUGACGGGGACCCGCACAAGCGGUGGAUGAUGUGGAUUAAUUCGAUGCAACGCGAAAACCUUACCUACCCUUGACAUGUCCAGAACCCUGCUGAAAGGUGGGGGUGCCCGAAAGGGAAUUGGAACACAGGUGCUGCAUGGCUGUCGU